rnacentral:sRNA from 1 species
AGACAAAAUUGACUUUUUGUGAGACAAAAUUCAAUUUUGUCAAUUUUGUCUCACAAAAGUCAAUUUUGUCUCACGAAAGUCAAUUUUGUCUCACGAAAGU